rnacentral:lncRNA from 1 species
CCUCUAAAAGCUCCAUCCUAACAUUAUUACCCACGCUGGCAAUUAAUUAUCUGAAUAUGAAAAAUAAAAAGAAAGGUAAUGAGCUAAACAGCCCAGUAAGUAACAAAUAUUUCAACUAGAUAUUUCAGAUAUUUAUAUAAUUUUCAAAAACAAUGCUAUGAAUAAACAUAAAAAUAUAUUUCAUGCUAAUUCAAUGUAAAUCCAAUCUUUUCAAAUAUUUUC